GCCUGAUGCAGCAACGCCGCGUGCGGGAUGACGGCCUUCGGGUUGUAAACCGCUUUUAGUAGGGAAGAAGGGCUUCGGCUUGACGGUACCUGCAGAAAAAGGACCGGCUAACUACGUGCCAGCAGCCGCGGUAAUACGUAGGGUCCGAGCGUUGUCCGGAAUUAUUGGGCGUAGAGAGCUCGUAGGCGGUUUGUCGCGUCUGCUGUGAAAACUAGAGGCUCAACCUCUAGCCUGCAGUGGGUACGGGCAGACUUGAGUGGUGUAGGGGAGACUGGAAUUCCUGGUGUAGCGGUGGAAUGCGCAGAUAUCAGGAGGAACACCGAUGGCGAAGGCAGGUCUCUGGGCACUUGCUGACGCUGAGGAGCGAAAGCGUGGGGAGCGAACAGGAUUAGAUACCCUGGUAGUCCACGCCGUAAACGUUGGGCGCUAGAUGUGGGGACCUUUCCACGGUUUCCGUGUCGUAGCUAACGCAUUAAGCGCACCGCCUGGGGAGUACGGCCGCAAGGCUAAAACUCAA
rnacentral:rRNA from 1 species